rnacentral:lncRNA from 1 species
GAGCUGCCCGGCUGAAGGCUUGUUGCUGCUGAGACCCACCGGCCAGUUCUGACAUUCUCUUCCCCUCCCUACCCUUCCAGUGCAGGGACCAUGAGGAAUACAACCCCUUUGACCAGGGCUUUGCCAAGAACUGGUAUCUAACAAUGUGUGCACCACUGGGUCCCAAUUACAUGUCUGAAGUUGUCUGUCUGCAAAGACCGGUGGGGACAGAACGAAUCCAGGAGAAGACUAAACACCCACCACCGUGUCCUCCCAAACCUUGUGGCCCAGGUCAUCCUGGGCCACAGAUCCAACCUCGGCACACACGAGGGAAGGGACCCCCAGGGAGUGGCGAGGCUGCAGCUCUCCAGGAGAUGAGAAGCCUACCUGCAUCUGUGGAAAAGUCCCCAGGAGGUCCACGCCAACCCAUGGCUGAAUCUGCUGAUGAGGCUCACCCCGGUACUCACAGAGCCAGGACCACCUGAACUUGCGCCUCCGAGUUUGAAUCCGAGUGGUCCACUUGGGCCCAGCCCCUGUUUCACUGGUGGGAGCACUGACACCCACCAAUCCUCAUUAAAUAUUGAUUGACGGUUUCUG